GACGAACGCUGGCGGCGUGCCUAAUACAUGCAAGUCGAGCGCAGGAAACUGACGGAACUCUUCGGAGGGAAGGCAGUGGAAUGAGCGGCGGACGGGUAGCAACACGUAAGGAACCUGCCUCAAGGAUUGGGAUAACUCCGAGAAAUCGGAGCUAAUACCGGAUAGUUCAACGGACCGCAUGGUCCGCUGAUGAAAGGCGCUCCGGCGUCACCUUGAGAUGGCCUUGCGGUGCAUUAGCUAGUUGGUGGGGUAACGGCCCACCAAGGCGACGAUGCAUAGCCGACCUGAGAGGGUGAUCGGCCACACUGGGACUGAGACACGGCCCAGACUCCUACGGGAGGCAGCAGUAGGGAAUCUUCCACAAUGGACGAAAGUCUGAUGGAGCAACGCCGCGUGAGUGAUGAAGGUUUUCGGAUCGUAAAACUCUGUUGUAAGGGAAGAACACGUACGAGAGGGAAUGCUCGUACCUUGACGGUACCUUACGAGAAAGCCACGGCUAACUACGUGCCAGCCGCCGCGGUAACAC
rnacentral:rRNA from 1 species